rfam:Bombyx mori DNA, contig: Bm_scaf141_contig39748, strain: p50T/Dazao, build 2, whole genome shotgun sequence.
UUAACUCAACUUUGUAUGGAGUUGGAUUGUUUGUCUACGUUUGCCGCUAGAGGCGCUGUUCCAACUCCAUACAAAUUUGAGUUA